GACGAACGCUGGCGGCGUGCUUAACACAUGCAAGUCGAACGGCAAGGCCCUGCUUUUGUGGGGUGCUCGAGUGGCGAACGGGUGAGUAACACGUGAGUAACCUGCCCUUGACUUUGGUAUAACUUCAGGAAACUGGGGCUACUACCGGAUAGCAGCUCCUGCUGCAUGGUGGGGGUUGGAACGUUUCGGCGGUUGGGGAUGGACUCGCGGCUUAUCAGCUUGUUGGUGGGGUAGUUGCUUACCAAGGCUUUGACGGGUAGCCGGCCUGUGAGGGUGACCGGCCACAAGGGGACUGCGAGACGGCCCAGACUCCUACGGGAGGCAGCAGUGGGGAAUAUUGCACAAUGGGCGGAAGCCGGAUGCAGCAACGCCGCGUGCGGGAUGACGGCCUGCGGGUUGUAAACCGCUUUCGCCUGUGACGAAGCGUGAGUGACGGUAAUGGGUAAAGAAGCACCGGCUAACUACGUG
rnacentral:rRNA from 1 species